CUAUUGAGCAUCUGAAAUAUGAUCAGUGAAGCUGAAGAACUGAAUUUCAAAAUAUUAUUUACUUUUAAUUAAUUUAAAUCUAACAAUUGAUAGUUCAAUUAUUGGAACUCUUUCAAGUAUGCUUAGAGCAACUUGGGUAUGUGAAUCCACUUUGUUAACCAUAAGUUUUAUGAAAUCUAAAUAUAAAUCAAUUAUUUCUGUAAAAUAUUUAGUGUAUUAACUGAGAUGUGCUCUAGGUAUAAACUUUAUGUAAGAAAUUCAUUUUAUAUAUAGAUUAAAAGUAAAAGAAUUAGGAAAGAUAUGCUAUGUAAACCUUAAUCAUAAGAAAGCUAAAGUGUCUAUAUUGUUACUUAAUAAAGUAGAAUUGAGUACAAGAAAUAUUACCAGGAGUAGAAGGGACAUUUUUUAAUGACAAAAAGGGACAGUUCAUAAGAAGACAGAAAACUCCUAAGUACAUUUAUGUCUUUUUUAAAAAUUUUUAAAUAGAGCACACUGACAAAACUGAAUAGAAGAAAUGGAGUAAUACACAAUUAUACUUUAAAAUUCCAACACUCCUUUCUUAGUAAUUGCUUGAGCCAGUAGACUGAAAACCAGAAAGGAUUUGAAGACUUCAAUAAUACUAUCAACCGAUUUGACCUAACUGGUAUAGAAUAUGCCACUCAAGAAUAAUAGAAUACAAAUUCUUUAAAAGUGCACAUAGUAUAUUUACUAAGAUAGACUGUGUGCUG